UUCCAGAGUCCAAAAGAUGAAGGCAAGGACGAGUGGGAAGACGAUAGCAGGAUCAAGACUUCCUUUAACAGCAGCCCAUGAGUAUACUGCUCCCCAACUGACUGUCAGACCCAGAUAGGAUUGUCAAUGGAACGGGGUUGAGUCAUGUUCAGCCCAUUUGACCCGAAUUGAGCUUUAUGUAUUAUUAAGAUGGACAAAGUUUGGACCUAAAUAUUAGACUUAAUUUAAUUGUGAACUGAGUUUGGAUUUCAGUAGGCUCAACCCAGUUAGAGCCUAGUCCAGGGUAAUUAUUUAUAUAAAUAUGUGUUUUAUAUACAAAUUAAUGUGUA